GUGACUCUGUUCAACGGCCGCGGUAUCCUAACCGUGCGAAGGUAGCGUAAUCACUUGUUCUUUAAAUGAGGACUAGUAUGAAUGGCACCACGAAGGUUAUACUGUCUCCUUUUUCUAAUCAGUGAAACUAAUCUUCCCGUGAAGAAACGGGAAUAAAAAUAUAAGACGAGAAGACCCUAUGGAGCUUUAAACAAAUAUACACCUGCCUCUUUACCAAAAAUUUCAGAAGACAAGUAAUUACCCGGGCAUUUUGAUAUAGCGUUUUAGGUUGGGGUGACCGCGGAGCAAAAAACAACCUCCGCAGCGAACGGGAGUAUUCCCUAAACCAAGGGCCACAACCCCAAGUAUUGAUAAAUCAACACUAAUUGACCCA
rnacentral:rRNA from 1 species